UCUGGUAUUGAUUGGUGCUUGCAUCAUGAUUUACAUUUGAGUGAGUGGCGAACUGGUGAGUAACACGUGGGAAACCUGCCCAGAAGCGGGGGAUAACACCUGGAAACAGAUGCUAAUACCGCAUAACAACUUGGACCGCAUGGUCCGAGCUUGAAAGAUGGCUUCGGCUAUCACUUUUGGAUGGUCCCGCGGCGUAUUAGCUAGAUGGUGGGGUAACGGCUCACCAUGGCAAUGAUACGUAGCCGACCUGAGAGGGUAAUCGGCCACAUUGGGACUGAGACACGGCCCAAACUCCUACGGGAGGCAGCAGUAGGGAAUCUUCCACAAUGGACGAAAGUCUGAUGGAGCAACGCCGCGUGAGUGAAGAAGGGUUUCGGCUCGUAAAACUCUGUUGUUAAAGAAGAACAUAUCUGAGAGUAACUGUUCAGGUAUUGACGGUAUUUAACCAGAAAGCCACGGCUAACUACGUGCCAGCAGCCGCGGUAAUACGUAGGUGGCAAGCGUUGUCCGGAUUUAUUGGGCGUAAAGCGAGCGCAGGCGGUUUUUUAAGUCUGAUGUGAAAGCCUUCGGCUCAACCGAAGAAGUGCAUCGGAAACUGGGAAACUUGAGUGCAGAAGAGGACAGUGGAACUCCAUGUGUAGCGGUGAAAUGCGUAGAUAUAUGGAAGAACACCAGUGGCGAAGGCGGCUGUCUGGUCUGUAACUGACGCUGAGGCUCGAAAGUAUGGGUAGCAAACAGGAUUAGAUACCCUGGUAGUCCAUACCGUAAACGAUGAAUGCUAAGUGUUGGAGGGUUUCCGCCCUUCAGUGCUGCAGCUAACGCAUUAAGCAUUCCGCCUGGGGGAGUACGGCCGCAAGGCUGAAACUCAAAGGAAUUGACGGGGGCCCGCACAAGCGGUGGAGCAUGUGGUUUAAUUCGAAGCUACGCGAAGAACCUUACCAGGUCUUGACAUACUAUGCAAAUCUAAGAGAUUAGACGUUCCCUUCGGGGANCAUGGAUACAGGUGGUGCAUGGUUGUCGUCAGCUCGUGUCGUGAGAUGUUGGGUUAAGUCCCGCAACGAGCGCAACCCUUAUUAUCAGUUGCCAGCAUUAAGUUGGGCACUCUGGUGAGACUGCCGGUGACAAACCGGAGGAAGGUGGGGAUGACGUCAAAUCAUCAUGCCCCUUAUGACCUGGGCUACACACGUGCUACAAUGGAUGGUACAACGAGUUGCGAACUCGCGAGAGUAAGCUAAUCUCUUAAAGCCAUUCUCAGUUCGGAUUGUAGGCUGCAACUCGCCUACAUGAAGUCGGAAUCGCUAGUAAUCGCGGAUCAGCAUGCCGCGGUGAAUACGUUCCCGGGCCUUGUACACACCGCCCGUCACACCAUGAGAGUUUGUAACACCCAAAGUCGGUGG
rnacentral:rRNA from 1 species